AUACGUAGGUGACAAGCGUUAUCCGGAUUUACUGGGCGUAAAGAGCUCGUAGGUGGUUUGUCGCGUCGUCUGUGAAAUUCCGGGGCUUAACUCCGGGCGUGCAGGCGAUACGGGCAUAACUUGAGUACUGUAGGGGAGACUGGAAUUCCUGGUGUAGCGGUGAAAUGCGCAGAUAUCAGGAGGAACACCGGUGGCGAAGGCGGGUCUCUGGGCAGUAACUGACGCGGAGGGGCGAAAGCAUGGGUAGCGAACAGGAUUAGAUACCCUGGUAGUCCAUGCUGUAAACGGUGGGCGCUAGGUGUAGGGGUCUUCCACGACUUCUGUGCCGUAGCUAACGCAUUAAGCGCCCCGCCUGGGGAGUACGGCCGCAAGGCUAAAACUCAAAUGAAUUGACGGGG
rnacentral:rRNA from 1 species